rnacentral:rRNA from 1 species
GAUGAACGCUGGCGGCGUGCCUAAUACAUGCAAGUCGAGCGAACAGACGAGGAGCUUGCUCCUCUGACGUUAGCGGCGGACGGGUGAGUAACACGUGGAUAACCUACCUAUAAGACUGGGAUAACUUCGGGAAACCGGAGCUAAUACCGGAUAAUAUAUUGAACCGCAUGGUUCAAUAGUGAAAGACGGUUUUGCUGUCACUUAUAGAUGGAUCCGCGCCGCAUUAGCUAGUUGGUAAGGUAACGGCUUACCAAGGCAACGAUGCGUAGCCGACCUGAGAGGGUGAUCGGCCACAGUGGAACUGAGACACGGUCCAGACUCCUACGGGAGGCAGCAGUAGGGAAUCUUCCGCAAUGGGCGAAAGCCUGACGGAGCAACGCCGCGUGAGUGAUGAAGGUCUUCGGAUCGUAAAACUCUGUUAUUAGGGAAGAACAAAUGUGUAAGUAACUAUGCACGUCUUGACGGUACCUAAUCAGAAAGCCACGGCUAACUACG